AUUGAACGCUGGCGGCAUGCCUUACACAUGCAAGUCGAACGGCAGCACGGGUGCUUGCACCUGGUGGCGAGUGGCGAACGGGUGAGUAAUACAUCGGAACAUGUCCUGUAGUGGGGGAUAGCCCGGCGAAAGCCGGAUUAAUACCGCAUACGAUCCACGGAUGAAAGCGGGGGACCUUCGGGCCUCGCGCUAUAGGGUUGGCCGAUGGCUGAUUAGCUAGUUGGUGGAGUAAAGGCCUACCAAGGCGACGAUCAGUAGCUGGUCUGAGAGGACGACCAGCCACACUGGGACUGAGACACGGCCCAGACUCCUACGGGAGGCAGCAGUGGGGAAUUUUGGACAAUGGGCGAAAGCCUGAUCCAGCAAUGCCGCGUGUGUGAAGAAGGCCUUCGGGUUGUAAAGCACUUUUGUCCGGAAAGAAAUCCUUGGCUCUAAUACAGUCGGGGGAUGACGGUACCGGAAGAAUAAGCACCGGCUAACUACGUG
rnacentral:rRNA from 1 species